rnacentral:rRNA from 1 species
CAGUCGCCGCGGUAAUACGAAGGGUGCAAGCGUUAAUUGGAAUUACUGGGCGUAAAGCGCGCGUAGGUGGUUCAUUAAGUUGGAUGUGAAAGCCCUGGGCUCAACCUGGGAACUGCAUCCAAAACUGGUGAGCUAGAGUACGGUAGAGGGUAGUGGAAUUUCCUGUGUAGCGGUGAAAUGCGUAGAUAUAGGAAGGAACACCAGUGGCGAAGGCGACUACCUGGACUGAUACUGACACUGAGGUGCGAAAGCGUGGGGAGCAAACAGGAUUAGAUACCCCCGUAGUCCCUGUCUCUUAUAC